UGUGGGAGCGGGCUUGCUCGCGAAUACGGAGUGUCAGUCACCUGAUUAGUUGACUGACACUCCGUAUUCGCGAGCAAGCCCGCUCCCACA
rnacentral:misc_RNA from 1 species